GAGUAUCAUGCCCUUACGGGUAGAUCUCCACCCUUGAAUAACAUACCUUUGUUGCUUUGGCAGGACGCACUCGUGCCAGGGGCUUCGGCUCUUGAGUGCCUGCCAGAGGACCUAAAACUCUUGAUUUAUUAUUGUCUGAGUACUAUAUAAUAGUUAAAACUUUCAACAACGGAUCUCUUGGUUCU
rnacentral:misc_RNA from 1 species